CCCUCGAUAGCUCAGUUGGCAGAGCGGAGGACUGUACGGUGAUCCUUAGGUCGCUGGUUCAAAUCCGGCUUGAGGGA